rnacentral:rRNA from 1 species
GACGAACGCUGUCGGCGUGCUUAACACAUGCAAGUCGAACGGAGUGGCGAACGGGUGAGUAACACGUGGGUGAUCUGCCUUGCACUUCGGGAUAAGCUUGGGAAACUGGGUCUAAUACCGGAUAGUGCAAGAUGAGCUCGCGGCCUAUCAGCUUGUUGGUGUGGUAAUGGCCUACCAAGGCGUCGACGGGUGGCCGGCCUGAGAGGGUGUACGGCCACAGUGGGACUGCGAUGCGGGCCAGACUCCUACGGGAGGCAGCAGUGGGGAAAAUUGCACAAUAGGCGGAAGCCUGAUGGAGGGACGCCGAGUGGGUGAUGAAGGCCUUCGGGUUGUAAACUCCUUUCGACAGGGACGCGGUACCUGUAUAGGAAGCACCGGCUAACUACGUGCCAGCAGCCGCGGUAAUAC